rnacentral:rRNA from 1 species
UACGGGGGGGGCAAGCGUUGUUCGGAAUUACUGGGCGUAAAGGGCUCGUAGGUGGCCAACUAAGUCAGACGUGAAAUCCCUCGGCUUAACCGGGGAACUGCAUCUGAUACUGGAUGGCUUGAGUUUGGGAGAGGGAUGCGGAAUUCCAGGUGUAGCGGUGAAAUGCGUAGAUAUCUGGAGGAACACCGGUGGCGAAGGCGGCAUCCUGGACCAAUACUGACGCUGAGGAGCGAAAGCCAGGGGAGCAAACGGG